GCCGAUUUCGGGCUCCGGAGGCCCGAGCACAGAAAUCAUAAUCCUUGUGUCGGGGGUUCAAAUCCCUCCCUCGCUACCA
rnacentral:tRNA from 1 species